rnacentral:lncRNA from 1 species
CGGGGGCGCGGCUCCUCCGCGGGAGGGCUUGCCCCCCGCCUCAGCUGCCUGGCGCUCCCCGCACUAACGGGCCCGGUGCAUCGCCACCGCGGCCCCGGCCCCGCCCGAGCUCGGCUGUGCCCCCAGGCCGGGCUCUGGGCCCCGGGCGCCCGCGGGCCAGGACGCCUCCCGCCGAGGCGCGGGGGCAGCUACAUCGCGGGGCGCCUGGGCGGCGGCGCCAAAGCCAGGGUCACAAGGGCACGGGGCGGGUGGGGGAGGAGGUGGGGUGCGGGAGGGGGCAGGAGACCAGGGCAGAGGUCGGCCCCCGCCGCGGGCGCUUUCACGCCGCGGGCAUUGCCCGCCCGGCUUCGGCGCCCCGGGCGCAAAGCAGGAGCGCAAACUCUGCCCGAGGCGGCGACGGCUGCGGUCGGGGCUCACUAGGGAGCGACUAGGUGCCCGCGGCGGCCCAGCUGCCUGGACCUCUCCCCUCCCCGGGGUGUGCCCCCAGCCCAAGGCGACCCGCUUAGGCGCUGGGUCGGCUAUGGGAGUAGGGGUUUCUCCGGAGCCAGCUAGCCGAGCGGAGACACCAGGAGAAUUGAAGAGGAGGAGGAGGAAGAGGAGGAGGCGGAGGUGGAGGAGGAGGAGAAAAAGGAGGAGGAGCAGAGUGGGAGGAGGAGCCGCCGGCCGCGGGCCCCGCCGCGCGCAACGCUCUCCAAGAGCGCGCCGAGCCCAGCCCCGGCUCUGCAGUCCGCGCCAGCCAAGCGUCCGCGCCUUUUCUACAGCCGCGCCUGACAUCACGUCCUGCCGCCGCGCCAUUGGCCGCCCGGCACCCCGGGCCCCGGCAGCGCGUGCUCUGGGAAGGCGGGAGACCCGAGAGGGAGGGGAACCGCAAGAGGAGGAGAGGAGCGACGAGAUGGUGGGAGCUGCCCACACCCACCGCCGACCGACCCCGAAUUCCCUGACAGGAUUGCCGCCGGGUGCGCCCGCGUAUGUAUCCCUCCGUGUCUGGCUGGGACGCGCUCGGGUCGGCAAAGGGCUCAAACUUCAUUUCCCGCCACGGGAUCUGGGCACCCCUCCCGCCCCCGACACCACACACACCCCAGCCCUGAAUUCAGAGGCCGGUAACUUUGCUAAUCUCCCCCAGCGGUGA